rnacentral:tRNA from 1 species
AAUAGGAUGGCCGAAGCACUAGGCGAUAGAUUGUAAAUUUAUUUAUGGUUAAAUAAACCUCCUAUUA